GAAUAUAAUGGAUUGAUAUUGAAUAAUGAUUUGAAUACAAUGAAGAAGAAGAUCAACUCUUCUUCAAUGAAAGUUGAUCUUAAAGUGGAGGCUAAAAGAUAAUAAACCCUAGUUACAACUUCUCUUAUAUAGACAAUACAUAAUAGAAUACUUGUAUAAAAAGACUUCCAAACUUGGUGAAAUUCGUGGCUACUGCUGUUGGUUUCCUAGAGGGAUUAGGCAAUCAGCAAAACCUAAUUUUUUUGGGCUUAAAUUGUAGCUUGGGCCAAGACCUUCAGUUUGAUAGCUCAUGGGCCCAAAUCGGACUUCUGGAUCUUCUUGUGGAGCCUUUCUAAGAUUACGACCCAAAAUAGAAAAUCAGGUCAACAAAAGUCAACAGAGUUGACCGAAAUCAGCAGAGUCCAACAGUUGACUGAAGUCAACAGAAGACCGUGGGUGCAAAUAUCCAUUCUUCUUCCCUUGUGCCAAUAACACCUUUUUGCUUGUUUUUCUCGACUUUUCGCGAGCUUUUAAAUAAUAUUCGUAUUUCGGCUCAUGAAACCUAUACAAAAGACAAGAAAACACUAAUCAAUAGAUAUAAUACAAUAAUAUAAGCUAAGUGCUAGAUAAACAAGGUGUUAUUUGAGGGAUAAAUAUACACUUUUAAGGUCCGAUCACCAUACACCAUUUUCUUGCAUGAUUCCCUUAGUUUCGUUUUAAAUAAGAACUUCUACAUACUGAUCACUAAAUAGAUAUCUUCCUACAUACAGAUAGGCCAAGAAUGUAUGUAAUGUCACACAAACUGCACUUCCUACUUAUCUCUUUCAUGUCAGUUUUUUAGGAGCCCAACCAACCAUUUUAUCAGGCAAUUCAAACAGAAUUUGUGGAUUCCCAACACAAAAAGUGUGUACUACUUAAUCAUACAUCUAAACUCCCACUGUUUGCACCUUGAUUAUUAUCAAAAUUCAUAUAUUACUAACUUGUAACUAAAACUAUAUACAACUUCAAGGAACGCGUGAACAUCAUUAAUUUACCUCUUAAAUACAAAAGAAAAAAAAAAUCAAAUCCAUAAAGAUCUGUCAAAAAAUAUUUUAAAUGUAAAUCAAAAUAUUCAAUUAUGAUCUAUAUAUACCUUUGUUAAAUACAUGCCAAAAUAUAAGAAAAAUAGUACCUAGUAAUCUGUAAAUACAUAAGCCAUAAGGUAUCCUCAGUUGUAAGAAAAUGUGACUUCACUGAAAAUGGCCAAAUACCCUACUACUGUAUAUAAUUUACGAAUUGAUACUACGAAAACCAUAAAACUAGGGUGUUGUGAAACUUGAAUACCAUGUGAACAUUGUCAAAUAUACUAGCAUGUGAUUUUCAAAAAAAUAAAAAAAAUGAAAAUAUAAACAAAAGAAACCACCACCAAAAUUAAAAAUUAAAAACAUAAACAAAACAAUCUUUCUGACAGGUAAAAGGAAGAUGUGUAUUUCUUGCAAAUAUUAACUUAUACAUACAUACAUUGAUAAAUUUAAGGAUGACACCGCUUUUAAGUGAUGCUAGCCAAAUAAAAUACCCUCAGAAAUGAUGACAGGAGAUUCCUUGAAUUCCUUAAGUGGCAGAGAUGCCAAAUUUUAUGAGGAAUCGUUUUUAUUGUGCAGUGUAAGAAGCAAUAUUUUCAUCUGCAUGUCACCACAAUUUUAUGCCAACUUCGUGUCUACAUUACUUUAAUAUAGACAUUUUUGUAAUAGUCAGAGUCUGACAGACUGACACUGAGUACAAGAUCUAAAGGAGACAUUAAGUACUAUUGUUCAUGGUCUGGGAGUCAAAUAUGAGCCUUUUCUGAAAAAGUUGGAACCAGUGAACCAUAUACUAUCCAGUUGAAUCAGUUACUGUUAUGAGUGUUCUAUCAAUUAGUUUCUCUGAUUUGUCUUCAAUUUUAAACUUAAACAAAUACUUAAGCUAUAUGGUGGACAUUAAUGAGAAAAUUGCACCCAUUGACAUAAAAAAAAAAAACAAAUUCCCUCGUACCUUUCUCGUUGUUAUUUUUUUAGUUUGAGCAUGUUGGCAUGUUUAAGCAGUCCACCUAUUGGCUAUUCAUCAGUACUGGUUGGUUGAACUUCAAGUAAUCUUAACCGAAACCAAACAUAAUGUAGAGAACAAUGCAAAUUAAUAACUAGGAAAUCUAUAGGAUUGUCGCCACAACCAAAACUGUUAUAGACUUACAAUUGCUUUAAUUGUGGUUUACAAACUAAUGAAUUAAAGUUUCAUUUAUAACUUUCAAAAGUUUUUAUUCCAUCAAUUCUACAGUCGAAGAAAAUAGUGUCGAAAUAGAAGACACCAAAUUUAUUGAAGAAUUAUAAGAAAUUACCUAUGAAACUGGAGAAAGAAAGCCCCAAUUGGUUCUCUUUCUCUCGGUGAAAAUUGAACCCACCAAACCCAAAUUCAAACUAGGGCAAUCAGGAAGCGUAAGAGAGGAAAUAAAAGGAAGCAAUCAGGAAGCCCAAGAGAGGAGAUUGAAUAAAAAAGACUUUUCUCUUCGCAAGAGAGGUUGC
rnacentral:lncRNA from 1 species